rnacentral:lncRNA from 1 species
ACCAGAAACCUAUGAGUUACAAAAUUGCCUCCAAUUGCAAUAAUAAUACAUAGAAUAGUCUCGUAUAAGCAGUUCUCCAACCUAUUAAUUAAAAAUAUUUAUAAAAAAAAAAAAACUAAGCUUGGUGAUUGUAGUUCACCUUCUCAGCAGCUUCUGUGACUCUGAGUGGGGGAGUCUCAACAUCUUCAACGUCCAGUUCAGAAAUAGGAGCAAACUGUCCUUCGUAGUACCUGAGGAGAAAUAAACCCUUAACACCCAUUUUUUCAAAUAUAAAAACAUAAAUGUGAAGCAUCAACUUUUAGAACCAAAGAGAUUCAGUGCAAUUUUCAUGUCAAAACACUUUUAUCUCAAUAAUGAAGUACUUAUGAGUUACAUUGAUACAAGAGCAAUGCAUCCCACAUAUCACACACAUUCCUUAUAUCUGGAUCCCCAACAAUAGCAAUCCAAUGUCACCCACAUAGCACAUGAUACAUACCAGAGGUGUCCCUAGAAUGUCCACAUCAGCCAUUCCUUAUAUCUGUGUCCCCAAAAACAUUUGCAGUAAAAAGUACAUGGACUUAUGAGCACAAAGGGAUAACGGACAUGUAUGGGUUGACUUGAGAGAUAAACCAAGUAAAGUAAGUUCAAGAAAAAAUCUAGGACCAAAUAGGAUACAAGGUCAGAAUCAGUGUGACCCAUCUAAAAAGUUAGGACCCCACAUUAAUUUGUGCAGUCAACAACGAGGAUCCAUCUUUGGAUUAUUAUCCUAAAACGCUCUAUCUUUGGAUUAUAUCCUAAAGUGCUGCUGGUUAAGCUUGUUUCUGGUUUUUCUCUGUUGGAAAUUUCAAUUACUAACGAAAUAUCCAAUCUUCAUUUAAACAUACAGAUUUAAACUCAACUGUUGGCACUGCAGACUCUUGGCCAUUGUUGGGAUUGAAAUAAGCUAGAGUUUCUCAAGAUAAAUGCGGAUGAGGUGGGUUUUAUUUGAGAUAGCGAAUUCCAUGUGUUUGUGGAUUUAUUGCCAAAGCAAUUUGGGAAGAUCCCUGCUGUUUCCUCCAGAUGGAUGGGGUUAUAAUUUCAUUGUAACUUUUCUGAAGUAAGUUUUAGUUGGACUCCUUUUCUUUGCAAUGGACAACUUCUCCUCCUUUCCUUUAGAAAAUGCUUUGCUUUGCUGAAUUUUUCGUAACUCUUAGAAAUGUAACCCAAACUAAGAUGAAAACCCCCAACAUGACCGUAUUUUAAUAUGCUAUCACUUCUAAUCCUCUAUAUCUUUCCACUUGUUUCUCCAACUACCAUCAUAUGACUCGAGAGUUGUAUUGUGAGAAAGUCAUCUGUAUAUCAAAACUGAAAUCAAAUGAUCAUCUCUUCAGCACCCACAUGGUCUAUGUUCUAUAGCUUUCAACCCAAGUGAACUGAAAGCAUGAGACUCACAUUUUGAGUUGCGACUUUAUGUGCCUGAGCCAGGGUGCAUAUGCAUGAUUGCUUUUCAUUCAUUUUAGAAAUCAUUUGAAGCAUUGCUUCAGACAUAUAAUCUUCAAUCUUUUCACCUUUUUUUUUAUGACAAACAGUAGCGUUAGUGGGUUAAAAGUUUAUUUGUUAGGGGGAGGGGAAUCGAUGGGCAUCAAACCCGCACCAGGGUGCAUAUGCAUGAUUGCUUUUCAUUCAAAGUGUAGCAAUAUGGGGCUAAAAGAAUCACUCAGUCAAUCUUUCUCAACACCUUAGGCAUCCACAUACACAUUGGGAUCAUGUAUGUGAUCUACAAAAACGUUUAGGUGGGGAAUAACUCAAAGAGGAGCAUACCUUGUCAAUAGUUCCACUGCUUGUGAUCCAUAUCCAAUCUACAACAACGAAAAAUAAAUUACCAUUUCAACAGAUCCCUGGUUAUAGAUUACCAUUUCAACAAAAUCCUGGUUAUACAUAUUGCUUUGGAAACCAUAAUGAGAGAAUACCUUCAUGGCACUUGGAUGUGUAGCAAUUCGUACAAUCCGAGCACCUGAAAGACUGGGAAAAACUGUGUCCUGAAAUUGCUCACAGAAUUUCCAUGGUAUCUGGUCACCAGAAGGCUGAUGACCAUCACUUAAACUUUUCAUUGCAGAUUCACGAGAGAUCUUUCCCUCAAGGCAGACCUAAGAACAAAAUGAUAGCACAUAAAAUGUUGAGCAUCAAAGAAUUAGUGUUUUAUAGAAGAUGAAGUACGUGUUUAAAGUGUUGUCCUUUAUUGCUAUUUCACAUAAGGUAAAAUUAUAAAUAAAAAAACUAAUAAAAUUUUGGGUAUGCGUUAAAUAACUAAAAGAAAUAAUAGUCCUGAACUAGGGGAAGACAGUCAAACCUGAAUGACACACAAAAUAUCAGGAAGCUGAUUUUUUGACUCAUCAACAGGGCCUGCACGUGCAAAUUAUAAUCAAGUCCAGCCAAAUAGCGGCAAAAAAAGAAAGACCAGUUCUAACGUAACAUAUAUACCAAGUAGCACAAACAGGUGGUGAGCCGGGGCAUCAGCCAUUAGUUGCAAAUCAUUUGGAGAAUUUUUGUAGUGGGAGGCAACAUAUAGAGCCAUCAUCCGCUGCAAGUAUUAGAAUAUGUAAGUUCACUAAUAUGAAAAUGAGAAUCACUAGUCUGACAUUACUUGAACAUGUAAUUACCUGUAAGAACAACUCGCUAUCUUUAUGAUAUGAAAAAAGCGUAUCACAGUUUACGUAGUACAGAUCGCACUCACUGGGUGCAGGUAACCUAGCCGCCAAGAGAGAGAGAAGAGAGAGAGAGAUCAUUAAUAAAGGUAAGGGUUAUAAUGGAGAUGGUUACAUCUUCCUCGGUUCUGACUGUCUAAGCAAAUGUUUUUACCCGUUAAGUUUAGGGAUAUAAUUUGUGAUAUCCAAGCAAAGUAAACCAUGAAGCCAGGAUUCAAUCGGAUCACCAGAAGCAUAUCUGAUAGAUUCUUUCAAUUCUAUCUUUUUGAAAAGACGACCUACAAUCAGGGACAUUUAUCAAUUCAGAAAAUUAUGUCCAAAUAUCACAAAAUAGUUUUUAAAAAAUUAUACAUUGCUCACUUGCAAGCGCCAACAGUUCAAGUAUUUCAGAAACAAUAAUGUUAAGAGAAAGCAGAAGAAACAUUGAAUUUUGAAAAUAAAUUCAAGUUUUGGGGGGAAAGGGGGAUUUUGAUCCAACCUAAUUCAAGAUGAGAAUACAAAACACGGCCAAUAAGGAAUAAGCAUACCAGAUGUAGGCCCCUUAGCAGACACUUGGCUUUGCUCUUCCAAUUGCUGUAGAAGUUUUAGGGACAAAGACCGACCAGUACCUUCAUAGCUUUCAGUGUAAAAUAAAUGUCCUUUAGUAUUUAAAUUGCACUUAGAUUUUUUUUUUUUUACCAAAAGUUGAAUUCAGAGUUGACUUAUAAAUAGAAAGACAUCAAGCAUGAGUCAAGGAAAAGUGGAAACAGCCCAUGAAAAGUGAAAGAUCUUUCAUUCCCCCCCGCGGCCGUAACAGAAAGUGAAAAAGUGAAGUGAAAUAUGUUUCAUGAGACUGUUAAAACCAAAAAAGAACACAUGAUAAGAAUACACGACAUGAAGGAAGAAGAACAUGGAUGAAUCUUACCCAUUAACAGUAGAUGAAAGGAAGACCAGAUAAGGACCAAGCAAAGACUUCACUACUGGUAGUGGAAUAGCAGCUGCUUCAUCAACAACCAACAGUUCAACUUGGGAAAGCUUUUCAUGCUCAUGUGGCCGUAUAUACUGCAAGUACAAGUAACAAAAGUAAAAAACAAAUAGCCCCAAAAGCAAUGAGCAGUACAAAGUUCUUUCUUUUAGGCUACAUGAGGUGUAAAGGUCUAGACCACCUCACAAUCUCACAGGCAUGUUGAGUGCCUCUAUACCAUACAUACUGGAUUAGUGCCAGGAAGACACAUUAGGUUGACCAAAAAGUUUGGCGUUUCAGGAACAUGCUUUUAGAAGCAAGCUUCAGUAAUCACAAACCAUCUAAAUUAUGUUCAAUAUGCUCACACCAAUAACAAAAAUGAUGCACUUGGGCAAAAGUACAAUAGAAUUUUUGGAGUAGUCAAACAAAGACAACCACUAAUCAUAUAUGAGGGCAUACGACAUUUGAUGGGCAAAAGGUGAACACACUCAUGGCUAUUGUGAUGCGGCUAUCCAAUAGAAGAAUAUUCUCUAUUACAACUUGGUUAUCAACUUUUCAUGAGUAACAAUUCCUCCAUGUAUUUGUAUUUUGGUAUCAACUGACUAAACAAAAUCUUUAUUGCUAUUUUUUUAUAGAAAACGAGAUUUUAUUAAACAGCUAAAAAACAAUACAACACUUAGUGGACUAGGAAGUCCACCAUCAAAACGAAACAGCCCUGACAUAUGCCUCAACAUUCACCUCCAUCAUUAUAAAACAGAUCUGCAACUAUCUCACUGCAACUCCCCAAUCCAACAAAAUUACAUAAAAUGAAAGAUCCCAAAACCUUGGAGAGAGAGAAGCCAUAAGAAUGCCCAAUUCUUUCCCAAGAAUUCUCUUGUAAAUCCCCACUCUAAUUUUCAAAGGUUGCAAACUUGAAAUUAACAUAGAAGGUAACUGGCUUCAGAGUCAACUAGGAUAAUACUGGGCAUAUAUGCAGAGAGUAGGCAUAGUAGCAACUUUCAGGGUAUGGAAUAAUACAAAAGGAAAGGGAAGACCACAGAAUUCUCUCAGUCAUCUUAACUUGAUUUGGUACUAAGAAUAAGUUAUGUAUACACUUCCCACUGGCCCAUCUGUACGUUAAUAUAGAAAUAGAUUAUAUCCUGGCAACAAGGAAGUGAAAUACUCCUAUUUUUAUAUCAAUAUUGGGCACAAAUUAAGAGUUCAUCAAUAUAAUUUUACCUCAAUUGUAACCAACUGUGCAUAUAAGUUUACCUGAAUUGUUUGUCUGUGCUGCUUGUAUAUAUUGAUCUGUACAGUUGCUUUCUUCAACAAAGGGUCACUACUUUUCUGUACAUCAUAAUCUAUAUGUUCCUGCAAACAUAGUUUACAACUGUAAGCUCAAUAACUAGUGCACUGUUCGAAGUACAUGAUUGAAAAAUGAAGAAAACGGAGUGACCUUAUAACAAUUAAUGAAAGAUAAAAUGUAGUUCACAGAAUAAAACAUUCAAACACCACCAUCUUGAUAGUUAAACAAUUUCACUGUAAAAGCUAUUAAACUUAGCAGGAAAAAAAAUUUAAACUUUAUCUAACAUUUGAAUCUACAAUUUUCAAUUAGCAACUCUUGUCACAAAUGUUUAUUAGUGGGGUACGUUCUAAGAUAUUGUUAUUUGCUAAUUGUCGAGGAUUAUUUGGGAGUUAAAUCUCACAAGAAGGCGUAAAGAUCACAUUAGAAUUAGAUAUUUUACUAGGAAGCUAAAGAUCACAUUAGAACCACCCGCAGGAAUACAAAAAAACGACAUACCUUAUAGUCCAGUUGAUCAAAACCCUUGCAAACAAAUUCGAACAAGGUUCUUAAGUUCUCAGGGCUGGGUGCAGUUACAAAUAUAUUUGAAUACCUGUGAAGAUAUAUUUGUAUCGUCAAAACAUAGUACAUGAAUAUGAGUGUAGACAGCUACACAUACACCAAAACAGUUUUAAUACAUUGUAAAAGGCAUACUACCCUGCAGCAAUAGCUCCGGAAAUUGCCAAACCAAGUGCAGCCGAUUUUCCACGGCCUCGAGCAGCAAGCAAGGCAACAGUACUUCGGAGUGUCUUGUCCAAGAUUGCAUCAAGAAAUGUAGCAACAGCAUUUCCCUGUUGAAACAUUUACCAACUCAAACUAUGAGUCAUAUUAGUAAAUCACACAUGAUAGAAAAACUCAAAACUAAUACAAAUCAGAGAGAGUGCCUACCUGGUCCAACGUACAACAUUUCUUUAUUAAAGGGCCAACAGGAAAGGCAUCACUCAGCUGCUCUUUUAGAUCCUUCAGUUCCCUUUGUGACUCUGAUAUCCCUUCAGAGUCCUUCAAUCAUGAUCAGAAAACAAGAAAAAAGUUAUCAAAGUUAUCAAAGCUUCACAAACUCCUAGAAAGUAUCCUAAUAACCAUUCGGUAUACACACACUUGAAAAAUUACUUUUAUUCUUUUUGUCAUCUCGCAUAAGAUGCCACGAAAAUAAAGCAUUCCUCGAUUUAUCAGUUCCGUCCUAUAGAAAAGUUACAAGGCUAAAAGGUUACCUCUUUCACUGGAACUGGGGUAAUUGACCUCAUAUGAGAUGAAAUUGGUAAAAUAUUCAGCUCAUCAUCCAUUACUACACAUGAUUUGCAUGACGCAAGUGACAAUAAGAAACGCUCGUUAAAACGUCCAGUAGCCUUAGAAUGGGAUUCAGUUCGAAACCUAUCAUGAACAUCCUGAAAUCAAGAGGCGCUGAUAAGACUGUAUGGAGAUUUUUGCAUUUGAGAGAACGAGAAAGACAGUGUUGCAAAUAAAACAUGACAUAACGGAAUUGUUAUCAAAUAUAAUAUGUGGUGCAUGGCUAUUGCUAUAUUCGUUCUAAGUCCAUAAUGUAGUAAAACUAGAAACUACCUCAACAAGAAGAACAAAUAUUAUGAGGAAACCUAGUUGUUUUUUCUUCUUCUUUUUGGGGCUAGAACAUGAAAAGAAACAACUAGUCUACAUAGGCCCAACUGGGAAACUUAUAUGUUCAGCAGCAUUCUCUUAAAGAAAGUCAAGCAAUUGAAUCUACCAAAAGUCUUCUUGUAGCCAAGCACAUCAUUACGAAAAAAUUCGGAAACUUUUAACAUGGCUAGUUUUCAAGAUUUUGCGGUAUAUAAUAAGCAUAACCAUGCUGGCCUAAAAACUAAGCAUUAAUUGUGUGCAUGCGUAAGAGAAAGAGGUAUUAUUAUAUGCAUACCAUAACCAUGGUGUAGAGGUUGGUGAGUGAGGUUAGAGAAUGAAGCAACAAUAUGACUAGUCCACCUCCCUCCACUGUCUCUAUCGUUCUUGCUAGUAGAUUUGGAGUCAAGGCCUCAAAAUCCUAAUGCAGGAGAUCAAACUUAGUCAUAAAACUUAAAUCAAUUAUACAAGGGGUCUUGGCCAAACCAGUAAAUUUGUAAGUUUCAAGUUACCUGAAGUAUACACAUUCCAAAGGUAUUACCAAGAACUCUUUCUGAAUCCUUGUACAAGCAAUAAGUCAAUCCCCCACUUUCAACAAAAAGUGAGAAAGGAUCAACCUUCUCGGGAUCAAGCAGCCCCCUCUGCAUCAUCUUUUUUACUUGCUUAGCACGUUUUUUCUUGUGACUGCAUCAUGAAGUAGUCAAACGCAACGAAUCAAUAUAUUUUAAAAACGAAAUUCCGCCUUGCCUUAUAAUAAGGUGAAGAAUGGAAGGUAGAAGAAAUCAACCUGCUGAGCUCGAGCUUGUCCUUGUAGCACCACAACACAGUCGGGCGCGAUUUCUUUACUUCAUUGCUUAGCAUAUAAUGAAGAUUCACAAUCUGAAGACCAUAUAAAACUCCAUAUUAGCCAUUUUCCGUUAGUUUUCGAUAGAUUUUCGAUGAUAUUUCUUACCUUGUUUGAGGUUUUUAGUGUUACUCGGUGAGUAUUGCAGGUGAAAACAAGAAACAGUAAAACUGGUAAAAUUUUCUACCCAAUUCAAUUUAAAUCAUUGUUAUAACUCCUCAAAUUGAAUAGGAAUAGCAAAUAGGGAAUGGGAUAGGAAAGGCAGAAGAAAUUAGGAGUACCUGGUCACGGGAUUUGUCGCCGACGAUGACGAACAUGGAGCGGUGCCGGUUUUUGACGCCAUUGCUUAUUAGGGUUCGGAUUCGUUCGUCCACCUUCUUCCUCAUUCUCUCUCUCUCUUCUCUCUCUGUGCAAUUAGGUUUAGGGUUUAUACCAUAGGGCAGUUGUCGUCGUCGGGCAGGGUUUAAGCCGAACUAGUGAGAGAGAGACUAGACAUCGCGGAGAGAUAUUGAGUUCAUCUCAACCGUUGAUUGGCUAUCUGAUGGCUGUUAUCAAAGCUGACAUAAAAAUGAAAACUCAACACGUGGCCAAGUAUUUUUUUUCUCUCUUUUUUGGCUUAUUUAUUGAUUUGCCCCAGAAAUUAUUUUUUUUGUCUUACUCUAGGUCAUGAAACAGAAUUUAUCUUACUUUAUCUUCUAAAACUACCAAAAUCGAGUCAUUUCACCCAUGUUUUGUCAAUUCUAUCUCAUAAACGUUAAAUAAAAGGGAGUCUAAACAUUUCAUACCAUGCUAGCAAAGAUGAGCCACUGUUGUUGGUGAGGUACGAAAUUUUCAAACUUUCCUAAACCUUUAAAACUUAAAAGGUAUCUUGAAUAUGAACGUAAAUGAGGUAAAGUUGCUCAAUUUUGGCAAUUUAUGAAGGGUAAAAUGAGACAAAUUCAAUUUAAGGCUAAAGUGAGAGUAAAUGGCAGUUUCAUGAGAUAUAUCAAUAAAUAAAUCUUUUCUAGAAUACAACUAAAUUAUGUACUCACGGUAAAAGAUAAAUUAAUAUCGAACUUGUCAUUGACGAUAUCUAAACAUAAAACCUUUCAAGUUUUUACCUAUAAGAAUAAAUUUGGUAUAGUAAUUUCUUUUCUAAUUUAAAGUUUCCCAUAGAGUUAUGACGAAUUUGAUACCAAAUUAGGCUGUCAUUGUGUGGCAUAGCCGAAUUCCUCCUCCCUUACUUUAAAAAUAACGAUGUACUCAAAAAAAGUUUCCCAUAGAGUUAAAAUGAUCUUUAGUUGCUUGCUGAGACAACCCAUAUGUAUAAUAAGACAUUGAAAAAGGUGCCUCUGUCAUUUACACUCACACGAUCGAAUAAGUAGCUCCGACAGUUGCAUCAUAAAAUUAAGGGGUUUUCCGAGAUUGUAGUAAGGUUGACGAUUAAAGUUUGGGAAAUUUUCAGGUUAAGGAAUCAAGGGAUCACAUUUUCAAGUUUCGUAGGCAUUCUCUUUCCUUUGGAAUGGUGUUGGAAUCCGUCCUGAAGUUGCCCAUUCCUUUGCUCUUGAUUUUCAGAGUUGGAUAGCUAUAAACCUUAGGACACAUUGUACCACCAUACAUGGUUUACCUUGGAACCUUAUCUUUAAUUCAACUCUCUGGCAUUGCUGGAAAUGGAGGAAUAACUUUGUCUUCAAUGAUGGCCAACAACCGCUUGACUCACCCCAGAAUUUCAUUUUUCAAUUUGCAAGGGAAUGGUGUGAUGCGAACAAGUGUUCUUCUAGUAAGCCUCCUAGACAAAAUCAUCUCAAUCCAUUGGAUUCGUUUGCCAAUUGGUAUACAAAAUCAAUACAGAUGGGAGUUGUAAAGACCCAUUUAGCCACAUAAGUGCUGGAGGUUUGCUUCGUAAUUCUGAAGGGAAAUGGAUUAAGGGAUUUGCUGCUAAUUUGGGCAGAGGAACCAUCAUGGAAGGUGAGCUUUAAGGGUGGUUUCAUGGGACUUUCUAUAGGUUGGGAUGAGAGUUGCAAGGAAGUGAUUAUUGAAUGUGAUUCUUAUGCUGCUGUUACUUUGAUCCAACAACCUAUUUUAGUUCCCACUCUACAAUCUCAUUAUUGACUGCAAAGAAGCCAUUGAAAGAAAUUGAAGAUGUGAAGUUACUCAUAUCUAUAGAGAAAAUAAUGUCUUAGCUAAUCACACGUCUGACUUAGGUCAUGGGUUAUCACUUGGUCUUCAUGUUUUUGCUUCUCCUUCUACCAUUGCUACUAAUUUUAUAGUUUCUAAUACUAUUGGCAGGGCCCUCCCUAGAGCUGUUUUUUAGUAGCUUUUUUGUUUUGCUUGUUGGGCUUUGCCCUCUUCUGUACCCAAAAAAAAAAAAAAAAAAAAAAAUAUUGGGAAAUUUAUUUGGACCCAACUUUUUUAUCUCUACACCCAAAUAAUAUUUUCUCUUAUCUAAUCUUCCAAAUUUGUCCUUAAAUAACAAACAUUGAAGUUUUCUUUGUAUCUCUACACCCAAACCCCACGAUCCACCACUGUAGGGCGCUCCAUUAUUUCCGACAAACCCAACUCAAACGCCAGCAACACUAAAAUCGACAAAUCAAGACUGGAGAACAAAUGGUGUAGGAGUCCUAAUGUGAAUAUUAAAGCAAACUUAAGUUGCAAAACCCUUUUUUAUUUCAAUCGAUGAAAGGACCUUGGGUUAUGAACAUAAGGAACCUAUUAGGGUUUAGAGGUCCCCUCCACAUCAUAUGCAUAAGCCCUUUUUCUUCAUUCAUUAAUUUACGGAAGGGAAAAUUAAUACUAUUAUUCUCAUAAAAAGUGGGAAUACCAAGGAAAGAGAUCCUCUCCACACCAUAUAUUUUUCUUUUCUGAGUAGUUAUAUCCAAUGGAGAGAGGAAAACAAGAGCACCAAUGGUCGCAGGUUCACCGGAGAAAAUGAAGGUGCAGUGGUGAUGUGAGUUUAGGGUUAUUGGGUGUAAAGAUAACAACUUUAAUAUUUAUUUUCUCAUUUUUAUUUAUUUAAGGGCAAAUUUGAAAGUUUAGUAGAGAAAAUUUGUUAGUUGGGUGUAGAGAUAAAAAGGUUGGGUCCAACAAAAUUUCUCAUAAAGUUUAAUCACGCGAUUAAGUUCUUGUGCAAUGAGUAAAUUGUAGCAAUGACCCAUCAACUAAAAAUCCAUUAUUAUUGAUCCCUCAACUCAUCAAAAUAUGUAGUUAUGGUCAUUUUCGUCAACUUUGUAAGAAUUUUGUCAAAAUAAAUUAUGUUGGAAGGACCAUUGUUACAAUUAAGGUCCUUCAACUCAUCAAAACAUGUAGCUAUGGUCAUUUUCGUCAACUUUGUCAAAAUGAGUUAUGUUGGCAUGACCAUUAUUGCAAUUGGGUUAAAGUUGAGGAAUCAUUGCUCCAAUUGGGUUAAAGUUGAGGGAUCAUUUCUCUAGUUAGAUUAAAGUUGGGGGACCAAUGAUAAUUAAGUUUUAGUUAAGGGAUCAUAGUUGCACGUUUUGAUGAGUUGAGAGAUCAAUGAUAAUGAAUUUUUAGUUAAUGGAUCAUUACUCCAAUUGAGUUAAAAAUAAAGGACCAUUGCUACAAUUUACUCUUGUGCAAUAGAAGAUUAAUUUGGCCGAACAACCUGAUUAAGGUGCCUACUUUCUCUUUAAUUCAUUGGUAUCAUUUAUUUUCCCUUAAGCUGAAUUAUGCUCAAUUUAUGUAUCAAUAUUGUAAAGUUGUCUUUGUUAGAGUAAUUUGGACAAUAUAAAUUGAAAAUUAUUUGUGUAUAUGGAAAAGAUUAACCUCAGGGGUCACUUCGCCGGACUCCGUAGCAAUCUCCACCACUCCAAUCGUAAUGGUGAGUAAAUCACUUGUGUUUGUUUCCAUUUUUUCAAUUGGAAAUUGGGGGUUUUGAAUUCAUAUUUUGUCAAUUGGUUUUGUGAGCACUGAGAAUACACUACGAGCUUGUGUGUGUGUACAAUAUGUUGGAUUUGAUCUUUAUAAAGAAUGCGAGAAAUUGGGGUUAGGAAAGAGAAGAAAAGGAAACAGAACUCGAACUUCGAUCUUCAUUCUUGUUACUAAAGGAGAAAACCGAAUUUGAACCGGUUCAUACGUAAUCGAACCGAAUUUGUAUAGUUCGGUUCACCCCUUAGUACCGAACCGUACCAUACCAAAAAAAAUUUCUUGAGUUUGGUUUUGAUACAUCCCUCAUACUGUACCAUACCAAAUCGUGGCCAGACCUACUGAAUACAAAACUUAUAUCUGGGUCGUAAGUCGUAAGGCCUCCAAAAAAAAAGUUCAUAUUAUUCAUACCAAUCGGACAAAUCCCGCACCCAAAAACAAUGGCUAGAUAGAAAGUUCAAUUAUAGAUUAGGUAAUCUAUCCUUUUCAACUUAAAUGCACAUUCAUGAUGGUUAUGCAAAUCAUAUUAUGUUAACAAAUGCAACAAUUAAUUAUAUUUAUCCAUUUGGAAUGAUAUAUAUUUUCAAAGAUGGAAUUACAGACCCCGUUGACGUUGAGGCCAUUGCAUGAGAGAAUUUUAGAUGAUUUUCAAUUAAUUUAUAUUAUUGUUGUGAUAACCAUAAUAAUUAUUUUCUAAAUGUAAAACUAUAUUAAUGAAAUUUUCUUUGUCGGUCAAAAGAAGAUGAAAAGAUAUCUUUAUCUUCUAUCACAACAAAAAAAUUAAGGAUAUUAAUGUAAUAGGCUAAUAGCGAUGGGGUGAAGAAAUGGAACUAUCCUAAAUAGGCAGUUGCUGGUUAUAUUGGAUCAGGUGGUCUGAAUGAUUGGAUAAUUAGCAAAUAAAAAGGUUCCAUUUUUCAUGGACCCUCAAGUGGAAAUAUGGGAUAAAAGAUGGCAUAUACCAUUUUAUCCAUUUGUGAUUGUACAUUUUGAUGGUUGUGAUUUCACCCGAUGGCGCGGCAAGUGUGGAUUGGGAUAAGGAUGGUUUUGGUCUAUCAUCAAAGAUGGUUUGAUGUUCACGACUGGAUUUUACAACGCAUCCAAGUGCAUGGGUUCUAUAAAUACAGAGUUGCGCACAAUAAAAAAGUACAAAGGACCUUCAAACCUUUCACACACUCUGAGAAACUCCUGAUUCUCCCAACUUCGUCAACACAUCUUCAAUUUGGAUUAACAUCACUGUUUGUCAGUGAGGAGUCCUUAGUCUUCUCGUCUCAUUAGCCCUCUAGGUGAAGUGAGGUGUUACUGAAUUACUUGAGUAUUCAGCACAUUGAAAGUCGAACCUUAUUUGAACUUCACAGUAGUUAGCAAUCUUAUCUUCAGGUUUUAGAACCCAAUGCCAAGACAUAUUCCUUCCUCGACAGUGAUGGUUUGUACACAAAAGUUGGUUUGUACACAUAAGUCAGUAUUGUGUUUGACACACCAUCCCAUUCAUUCUACUAGCCCACAAACGCGUGGACUCGUCCAAAAUUACCCCACUCUCGGCCCGUUCACUUGCCCACUCGUCCCACGCGGCCCGUGAGUCUUCAGUGCCUGAUAGGGGGGCCUACUGUUAGGGCCGUUGUUGGCCACAACCCAGAGCCCAACGAUUUUUUUUUGCAUCCCACGACUGGCAUUUUUGGACCGUUGGUUGAUCCAACGGUCCAGAUUCAAAUUUUGUUUUUUUAAAUGUUAUUUUAAAAUACAUUGAAUCCAACGGCUGAGAUCGAAUAUAAUCAAAUCUAACGGUAAAAUAAAAAAAGAUAAAAAAAGAUAUAACAGUCCAAAUUUAAAUCCAACAGCUAAAAUAAUUUUAAAAAAAAUUAUUUAACUCAAAAUUCACCCAAAAACUCUAUAAAUACCUUUGUAUUUGUUCAAACAUCCACACAAAACUCAAUUUUCUCCCACAAUUCUUCCAUUUUUUCUUUCUACCAUUUCUUUCCAUUUCCAAAUUGUUCAACACGAUCCUUGAAUUGGCCAUCCCAAGCAGUAAGACAAUUCUUCCACUCCCAAAGCAUACAAUCGAGACUUCCUAUCAUGUCAGGAAAGCCUAUUUUGUCUGCUUUGAGUAGAAUGUGACGACAUGUCCCGAAUUAUUAUAUAUUUUUCUCCCUAAGUGUGUAAAGUGACGGUAAUGCCCUCGUGAUUUAGUGACGUGGAUGUACAUAUGUAGUUUUAAAUUAUUAUUUCUAUUGUCGUAGUUAAAUUGUACUCGACGCCAUGAGUGUGUUGAUGUGACCUAGGGCUAAAACAAAUUCGUAACGAAGAAGUUACGAACAGACGAGUGUGUAAAUGCGUAGAAAUAUAUUUUUAUGGGUUGGCUAUACCUUACCCACCAAUCACCUUAAUUCCUGAUUUCUUUGGCCUAAUUGAAUUAAAAAUAUCUCUCAUUUUUCCUUCUGCCCAAUCACGCACAUACACACCAUCACUCUCUCUCUUCUCUCGGACCUUCUUCUUCUUUCUUCUCAUUCCGUACACCCGAGCCACCCUUACCUCACAAUCAUCAUCAAAACAUUAUGGAUCGAAUUGGAAAUCACUACCAUCGCAGUCACCUCGAUCCCACGAACUCAUUGAUACCCUUAGGUCGAGGAAUAGACGUCGGGAAUUCGAGAACUCGGGAGCUCUGGCGAGGUGUAUUUUUCUACUUUGUGAUCGUGGUCUUUUUCUAUGGUUUAAAGGCUUGAGGUGGGUCCUAAUCAACUUUAUAGGGACCCUAGAUUAGUUUUGGAGCAGUUUGAACGUUGGAAUAGGUGAGAACAUGGAGUUGCAGGUUGGCCGGUUGAUCCAAGCCUUACUCCGACCACUUUCUGUCGGUUUUAGAACCUCAAGUAGGUAAGAUUGUAUUCUUCUAGUUGAGAGUUUCAAAUCCAUAUAAAAUUCAUGGAAUUUGGUUGAAAAAUGAUGAAGAUAUUAAAGUUUUAAGAUUUUUCCAAAAAUCAGCGACACAAACGGCGCCCGACGGCCAGCGAUGGAUUCCGACAAAGCCAUCGGAGAAGGAGGAGAAUAUUAUGUCUAACUUUGACAGAAUAUACUAACAGCGUCAGGUAACUCUAUUAGUUUUUAAACAAAAUAUUCUACUAUUUAAUGAAAUAUUCCCUAACGCCGUUAGGGAUUCCGUGCCUGCACGUGCCGGCUUAUGAGGGCGCGUGAGACGUCAGGAAAUUAAUCUAAAAAUAUUGGGGUGUUCGAGUUGUUGAGUAGGUCAUGUUGGUAUAUUCAAACACCCUAUUUGAGCAACGUAUGAGAAGUUAUUCCUAGGGUUUGUGUAUGUGCCUUAAAAUUAAUGUAAAAUUAGUUAUUUCGCAUAUAGGUGAGACUUACCCGGAGGACAAACGUGGUCAAACGAGACUUGGGGGCUACGAUCCUACUACUUACCAGUGAGCGGGCUUUUUUUUUCUAUAUAUAUGUAAAUAUGCUUAUGAAUCCCAUAAACUACUUUAAAUGAACGUAUGUUUUAAAUGCCAUGUCGUGUGCAUUAUGUGUUAGUAUUGCAUUAGUAUAGCUAUGCAUAGUAUUGGAUGAGACUGCGCAGACUCAGGUAAGUUUCAGGUGAGUACAUCAUGAUGGUAUUGGGUGCGUGUGUGUGGUUAUACGUUGAUGCAUUUUGAGCUUAUUAUCCUGCACAUUGGUGUUAGUGUUCUCGCCCAUGGCCAGGGCAUAGUUUUUCACAUGAUGUUCACCUCCUGGGCCGCACGCUCACUUUGGAUCCAAGUUUGGUGCACAGCCAUAUUGCACAGACCACAAUAGGUGGUUCCGACUCGUAGGUGACCUGCAAUUAUUUGCACAGCCUUCACGUGAUCGUAGCACUUAAGCGUACUUAUCUACACCCAGCCCUGUUGUACAGACCACAAUAGGUGGUUCCGACUUAUGUGCAUGCAUACUUGAUGAGCUAUAGAUUCAAUUGUACAGGUUACAUUAGGUGACUCCGGUUGGCAUACUAUUUUAGGUUGAUUCGUAUCACCUGGCUUACACAUUUUAUGGUUGAACAUCUUGACAUGGCAUACCUCUGUUUUCACUGCUCUAAGCAUUAUCCUUAUGUACCUAGUUGUUAUUAUUUUCUGGAAAAUUAUAUGGGUUUACAGUGAGGGGUUAGUAUGUUCAUAAAGACAACUGUGUUUUCAAAAACUUUGUUUUUGCCUACUCACAUUUUUUGUUUUGCACCCUUUCAGGUUCUAGGUAGUUGGUCAUCCUUGGUGGCUCACGAGGACUUUCACGGCGGUUCUGACAUCUCUGUAAAUAAGUAGGGAUUUUUUUCCCUGUUUGUAUAAUUAGUACUUAGUUGGUUCGAUUGCACUUUCGUUUACCCAUGCUCUGAUAUUUGUAUAACUUGCUUGGUCAUCUUUACUCACUUAUAUUAUCUUAGUUUAGAUAAGUUUGGUUUUAGGUUUUUAUUUAUUCGCAUUUCUUUUAUUAUUACUUCUGUUGCGCAUUUUGGCUACGUUACUCUUACGUGACGGGCAUCAUGUUUCGACUUCGGUUGGGGUGUGUCAUAAAAGCCUCUUCAAGUCUUCAUGAUUUGGCUUGCAGAGAUAUGUGGCUCCAUAUGUGGCCUGAAUUGCCCCACAGAAGCGCUCCAGGUUUUUAAUAGCAGUAGUCUCCGCAAGUCGGCAAUACUCAUCAGUUGAGUUUGCAGAGCACUCAUUAGCUAGCAUCCGAAAUGCAGAUGUGAGCUUCUGAUGAGGUGAUAGACUUUGUCGGCCUACGACAUUUAUCUUCCUUGCAAAGUAGUGGUCAUGAUUGACAACUGUGUUCAAGAUGCUUUCAAAAAUCUCUCUCCUCAUUCGAAACCGUCUCCGAAAAUCAUGAGCAGGAAAUCUCGGACGCUCAAUAAAAUAAUAUUUCAUCAUUCGGUCAUGACACUCUUCUCUAUCACGUUGCACAAAUGAACGCUUCGUGACAUAACCACAAUAGCUAGAUUCGACAUGGUGCUCAUAUUGCAUAAGCGAGUUUGGAAGUUUAGCUUAUGCGUUGAUCAUUUUUGAAUCCUCAAUGUCAAGGCUUGCUUGGUAUUAUGUCAUUUGCAUUGCCCUGCUACACCUUCUUCUAUCAUCCAUUGUUGAUAUAUUGAGGAUUUUUAUGAAACAAAAACACUUUGAAAGUUGAAAGAUUAGUGAAUAUAGGGAAUGAUUGAAGGUUGAAAGAUUGUGUGACCAACUGAUAUUGAACAUGUGUUUAUAUAGAGGAUGAUUGAUGAAAGUUGAAAGUUUGGUGAAAGUUGAACGGUUGGUGAAAGUUGAAGAUUUGUGAAAGUUAAAGACUUGCUUUGUGGAAAGAUUUAGUGAUUUUUUCAAUAUUUAUUGGAAUUUAAAUAUUUUUAUAUUAAAAUGUUCAUAAAAUUAAUUUACCAUAGGCUACAUAAUUUUUUUUAAAAGUUAAUUUAAGAAAAAAAAUUAGCCUAAGUUCAUUCUUUAAUAAUCCCGAACUAAAAUUUUAGGCUAGGGUUGGAGCAGAAAAACUGUUUCUGUGUUAAAAGCUAAAUUUUUUAGAUUAAAAAUUUUAAAUUUUAACCCAAAGGUUGGAGAUGAUUUAAGAAUGGAUAAACUUAACCAAGAAAAGAAGAAAAAAGAUGAAGGGCAAAUAAGUGAGAAGCAACAUGACACGACACACGGACGACCAUAGCAAUAAAGCGUGCGUCCUCACGUCCAUUGAAUAUAUAGAUGGGAGCUACAACAUCGUGUUUCACGUGCAUGUGUAUUAUACAUAAAGGCAUAUACAGUGUUAGCUUAUAUAUUAUAAAGUUUGUAGGCCACUUACCCAAUUUGGCAUAUGUUUUAUCUUUUUACGUGAAUAACCAAUGUGUUAUGAUGAUACAAGUCUCUUAACAUAUCCGGAGUUAGAAAUAUCAUAAGACAGUGUUGCGAUCAUAUUGAAAUUAAUUGACAGUUUGUAUUAUAUAUUUGAUUAUUCUUUAUUAACUUAAGGAGACAGCAUACUUAGACCUAAUUUAGUCACAUUCUCCAACCGAAAAUAAAGCGGUGUAGUAUUCAUACACUUUUUUUUAUUUCUUACACAGUCUUAAUUAAUUUCUAUUGUUUGAUCUUCUUCAAUUCAUUCGAUCUGACGACCGAAAAUUAAGAUGGUGUGUGGACGAGUAAAUUAUAACAAUGGUCCCUCAACUUUAAUCAAAUUGGAGCAAGGGUGCUCAACUAAAAAUCCAUUACCAUUGGUUCCUCAACUCAUCAAAAUGUGUAGCUAUGGUCAUUUUCGUCAACUUCGUUACAAUUUUGUCAAAAUAAGUUAUAUUGGAAUGACUAUUGCUACAAUUGGGGUCCCUCAACUCAUCAAAACGUGUAGCUAUGGUCAUUUUCAUCAAUUUCGUUAGAAUUUUAUCAAAAUGAGUUUUGUUGGAAUGACCAUUGCUACAAUUGAAUUAAAGUUGAGGGACUAUUAUUUCAAUUGAGUUAAAGUUGAAAGAUCAUUUCUUCAGUUGUAUUAAAGUUGAAGGAUCAAUGGUAAUGAAUUUUUAGUUGAGGGGACUAUAGCUGCACGUUUUAAUGAGUUGAGAGAACAAUAAUAAUGAAUUUUUAGUUGAAAAACUAUUACUUCAAUUGAGUUAAAAUUAAGAAACAAUUGCUACAAUUUUUUUAUAUGGAAAGUGGAUGAUGUGAAUAGCACAUCCAAAAAUAAAAGGGAACUUUAACGAAAAGCACCCGGUACUGUUCACUUUAACGAAAAACCACAUUUUUACACUAAAAAGUCAAUCCUGGUACUAUUCACUUUACCCUUUAUUUUGUCCUUAUCAUUAAAACUCAAAGUUUUCAAGCCCUUUUCAUUAGUUUUCCUAAAAUAAAAUGCACCACAAUUUGGUAGGAUCUUCCUGUUGAGAGUAAUAAAUUAAUAAUUGCCGAAAUAUUGGAUAAUUUGUCGGCCACAACGCUAUGAGGGAGUAUCUGGGGAUGAAUAUACUCUUGCCGACAGAUGCCCAAAUUCCAACUGCCAUUCAAAUGAGCCCUCCACCACCACCGGCCAUAAUAAAUUCUCUUUCUUUAGUGAAGAAGAAAAAGAGGUACUUGGCCCUCACCUCAACUUUUUGAGAAAGAACAAGUUUAUCGCUAUCAGAAUGUUUCGGUCAAUUAUAUAAGUUAUGUGUAAAUUUUUCUUUAGAUAACAUUACAUUAUUAUAUUUAAAAUGUUCCGUAACGAUAAAUUUGUUUCAUACAAAUUAUUCUCCAACUUCUUGGAUUUUUCUCCUUUUUCCCGAAAACCAGCUUAUAUUAGUGUUCAUCCUCUGUCAAUAUCACUCGCCCACAACUAUUCAACUAACUUUUAAUAAUUUGACAACGUGUCAUAUUUUUGUGCAAAGCGGGCCCAUUUUUGUGGGUGAUAUAAUAAUGGCGUAUGUGGUUUGUCAAGACAUAUACUCAUUUAUCCAUUAGCAGUUAGGUAAGUCACCUCACUCACCCACAGCCUAACACAUCAACAAAUAUUGCUUACAAAUUCUAGAAAAUUCGACCAAGAAAAAAAACCAAAUGCUCGCAAAUUAAAAUUGUGUAACAUGAUUAGUUUUUUAUCCAUUAGUAUUAAUUUUACGUUGGAAGAAAUUCCAAAUUUAUUCUUGUAAAGAGGGAUAUGAAAAUACUUUGUAUGUCUAUCACCAAAAUCUUCGAAUGUUUGAAUGGUUGAUUUUCAAGUCUCACACAAUUGGAUUUAGUUCAAGUGAGAAAGAAAUACACUCAAACUAUUAGAUAUGAGGAAUGAAAAUACACUACAAAAUCUUGUGAACAUUUCUAAUAUUCUCUUCUAUCUACUUUUUGUGAACCAAGUUUUUAUUUGUUUUUUUUUUUAACAAAAGAUAUUUUUUAUACUAGGGAAAUAAGGUGGGUUUAGCCUCAUAAUGGGCUAACAUAAUCUAGUUCAAACUUGCAUUUGGUGAGAAUCGAACCUAAAAUCUCUCACUUACAAGUGAAGAGGAAUACCAUUAGAAGUGUCAUGAAAUUAGCAGUCUUAUAUGUAAAAAAUUGAUUGACUAAAUGCUGUGUUAAAAAACAAGAUUAAUACUUGCAUCUCCCCACUUGGAAAAUGCAAAUAUUUCAUUUCUUGCAAAUAACGUAUAUCAUGCGUUCUGUUCAAUCGCAUAUUCAAAAAUGUUAAAAACAAGAUUAAUAUUUCUAUCUCCCCACUUGGAAAAUGCAGUAUUUCAUUUUUUACGAAUAACGUAUAUCCUGUGUUCCGUCCAAUCGCGUAUUAAAAAAAUGUGUGAAGUUUGGAUUAACUACACUCUUUGAGAAUUUCCUUAAAUAACCACUUUUUGAAAAUUUCUUAUAGGACUAAGUGAGUCUCCGCUGAGAAUUUCCUUAACUAACACAACACUACUUGAGUGAUAAUUUGUUAUAUCUUGAAUAGAGAAUAAAUCAGUUCCCUACUUUUGAAGGUACUAUUAACUUACACUAUAUUUGAAUGAGAACAAUAAACUUAGAAUUUAGAUGAAGGAAAUAAAACAGUUUCCUACUUUUGAAGGUACUACUCGAGUGAUAAUUUGUUAUAUCUUGAUAACGUGUCAUAUUUUUUUGCUAAGCGGACCCAUUUUUGUGGGGUGGUAUAAUAAUGGCGUUUGUUGUUUGUCAAGGGCAUAUACCCAUUUAUCCAUUAGCAGUUAGGUCACCUCACUCACCCACAACCUAGUACAUCAACAAAUAUUGCUUACAAAUUCUAGAAAAUUCAACCAAGAGAAAGAAAACCAAAUGCUCGCAAAUUAAUCUGUGUAACAUUAGUUUUUAUCCAUUAGUAUUUAUUUUACAUUGGAAGAAAUUCCAAAUUUAAUCUCGUAAAGAGGGAUAUGAAAAUACUUUGUAUAUCUAUUAUCAAAAUCUUUGAAUGUUUGAAUGAUUGAUCAUCAAGUCUCACACGAUUGAAUUUAGUUCAAGUGAGGAAGAAAUACACACAAACUAUUAUAUAUGAGGAUUGAAAAAUACACUACAAAAUCUUGUGAUAACAUUUCUAAUAUUCCUUUCUAUCUACAUUUUGUGAUAAGUUUUUUUUUUCCUUUUUUGAACAAACUAUAUUUAUCUACAUUAAGGGAGAGGAGGUGAUCUUAGCCUCACAAUGGGCUAGCAUAAUGUGGUUCAAAUUCGCCUUUGGCGAUAAUCGAACCUAAAACUUAUCAUUUACAAGUAAAUAGGAAUACCACUAGAUGGAUCAUGAAAUUAGCAGUCUUAUAGGUAAAAAAAAAUUGAUCGACUAAAUGAUGUGUUAAAAAACAAGAUUAAUACUUGCAUCUCUCCACUUGAAAAAUGUAGAUAUUUCUGUGAACACGGAAAAUUCCUGAAACGAAAGAGACAAGAACAACGUGCACAAAAUAAUAUUUUGGUGUUAAUGGAUUUGUUGGGUUACGAUCUCUUUUAACUUGAUCCUCUGAUUCGAUCUCCGUAAGGUGUUGAUUUAUGGAUGUUUCGUUGAUCCAAGGGCUGUUGAGGCUUGAUCUUAGAUGAACUGUUGGAAGUUUCUUCAAGGGGCCGUGGGCUUGAUCUUUGAAGGUGGAUUUGAGCGGAUCUUCAAGGAGCCGUUGGGGCUUGAUCUUGAGGAUGAGUGUUUCUUCAAGGGCCGUUAAGGCUUGAUCUUGAAUAACGGUGAUGAACGGAUCUUCAAGGGCUUUUGGGCUUGAUCUUGAAGAACGGUUGGAUGUGUGGAUUUGUUGAUGUUGUUGAUCCAAGGGCCGUCGGAGCUUGAUCUUGGAAGAACGAUGAACGAAGAACGAAGAACACUUUCUUCAAAGGCCGUCGGGGCUUGAUCUUGAAUUGGUGAUUGUUGAUCCAAGGGCCGUCGGGGCUUGAUCUUGGAAGAACGAUGAACGAAGAACGAAGAACACUUUCUUCAAGGGCUGUCGGGGCUUGAUCUUGAAUUGGUGAUUGUUAAUCCAAGGGCCGUCGGGGCUUGAUCUUGAUUCUUCGGGAUGAACGGAUGAUGAACAAUGAACACUUUCUUCAAGGGCCGUCGGGGCUUGAUCUUGAAUUGGUGGAAGUUCUUCAAGGGCCUUUGGGGCUUGAUCUUGAAGGUGGAUGAUUGUUGAUCCAAGGGCCGUCGGGGCUUGAUCUUGGGAUGAACAGUUGUGUGGAUUUGUUGAACACUUUCUUCAAGGGCCGUCGAUGCUUGAUCUUGAAUUGGUGGAAGUUCUUCAAGGGCCGUUGGGGCUUGAUCUUGAAGGAGGAUUUGACGAAGAACGAAGAGGGCUUUCUUGAUCCUUCGGGAUUUGCUUGAAUUUGGGAGGUUGGAUGCUUGAAAGCUUUAGAGUUUCAAAGCUUCAAGGAUUUUGGAUGUGUGGGGAGUAUUCUCUUCCAUUUUGGGAGUAGAGAAAUGUAUUUGUGAAUUGGUUUUUGAUACCUUGAUGUAGAAGCCUAUUUAUAGGCUUUGAGAAUGAAUCACCACCACAAAAUAUUUUUUUUCUUUUCCAAGCACCAUUGCCUAAUUUCCCACUUAAUACAAUUUUAAACUUGAAGUGGUAAUUUUAUGGCCUAAUUUUCCACUUAAUAUCAUUUUAAACUUGAUAUGUGCAUGCUUUGUCAUUGCCCAAAAUGAGAAGAAAACCUUGUUUUGAUCUUCAAUGAAUUGAAAUGUGCUUGCCUUGUCAUUGCCCAAAAUGAGAAGAAAAACUUGUGUAAUCCUUCAAGGGUAUUUCUUUUUAUUUUGUUGAGUCGCACACCAUGUGUACAAUUUGUAUGACACGUGGCAUAUGCCAUGUACGCCUUGACACGUCAAAAUUUUAAUGCGUUGGUGAACAUUUAUUUCACCGCAAUUUCGGUGUCUACAAAUGCCCCCACUUCAAGGUGCGUCGUAUACAUGUGCUUGUCACGUGUAGGAGAUGCGUUUUGAAGUCCCUUACUGUAGAUGUCAAUCCAAUGGCCAUCGAGGCUUGAUCUUGAAUUGGGCUGGAGAUUUCUUCAAGGGCCGUUGAGGCUUGUUCUUGGACUUUGUUUGAAAUUUCUUCAAGGGCCAUCGAGGCUUGAUCUUGAAGGUUGAAAUUGGACCACAAGGAGCUUCAUGUGGUAGAUGAUCUUUGGCUUUGGUAGUGGAUGAAUCGGCACGUAUUUGUUUUUGCGCUUUGUUGACUUUCCACAGCUUUGAUCUUGAACUGGGUUGGAGGAUUUUUUGGAUUCCUCCAAUUGUUGAUUUUCCACAGUUUAUUCUUGAACUGGAUUUGAUUCAAAUAUGGUGGACGCUUGAUCUUGAAUCGGACUUGUGAUUUCCUCAAGGGCCGUCGAGGCUUGAUCUUGAAUUUGGCCGGAAACUUCUUCAAGGGCCGUUGAGGCUUGAUUCUUGAAGGUUGACUCGAACACAUGGCAAGCAGGCACGAGGUGAAGGUGACGACUUGUUGCUUUGUUCAAUCUUUCUAAUUCACACCUGAGCAGUUUGGUCAACGGUAUGAUCUUCAAGAUUGAUGGGCUCUUCUUCCAGUUGGUGAUUUGAUCUUUAAGGAUUUGAUUCAAGGGUGGUGAAACGGCACAUGCAGCCCACAACGCCUAGCAAGUCGACCCAAGAAUUUGAGGGUUAAAACGAGUCCUCCACCCAGAGUGAUUGCAAACCUGAUGAUAUGAGAUACUUUUGAUUUUGAAGAAGUAGCGGAUGAAUCGGCACGUGCUUUGUUGUGCUUGUCUCCACAUGCUUCAAUGUAUCAUUUUCCCUUGUCUUAUCUAUUCUUCUAGCAGAAUGUAGCAUCUUCUUAAGUUCUUCAACUCAGACUCCUUCUGCUGAGCUGACUGUGCAGGCUGCAUUAUUCUCUGCUUGUUUCUUUAGGCAGAUGUGGCAGCUUCUUGAGUUCCUCAGCUCGGACUCCUUCUGCUGAGCUGAUUGUGAAGACUGCAUUCUUAUCUGCUUGUUUCUUCUGUACGUUGUCUCCACAUGCUGCAAGGUAUCAUUUUCAAUUGCCUUAUUUGUUUUCCAGGCAAAUGUGGCAUCCGAGUUUGAGUGGAGGUUCUGGCAUAUUGUUUUCUUUAUCCUUGUCUUUGUAGGUAAGAACAAGGACAAAGGAAAGGACAGGGAGAACGCAUGAUAUGAUAUACUCUUGCUUUCUACCCUGGUGAUAUGAGAUACUUUUGCUUUGGUGUCAUUUGUUUGCAGAGGUACCCCAAGGAAUAAGAAACACUGAGUGACUCGAGAGGCUUUGUUGGGAAGGCAUUCUAGGAGAUGAAGAAAGGUUCUUGGAGAUGAAGAAAGGUUCUCGGAGAUGAAGAAAGGUUAUGUAUGUCUGCCUUGCUAUGGAGGGUAAAGGUGGACAGUUAUAGGAAAUUCUUUAGUACCUGUAGAGGUACUAUUCUUUUACUCGUGUCGGCAACCAAUGUGUGAUUGAUCAGUAUGGCUUCACGUGUUUUCUUCUUUAUCAGAAAUCUUCGACAAAUUGUCCGUAAUUUUCGUCAAGCUGAGUGUGCAUGUGACAGGUGUUGACGAGGCUGAAAAAGACUGGUGCCUCUUCGAUAUCUGGGAUCGGCGCUUCGACAAAUUGCCCGUGAUUUCCGCAAAGCUGAGUUUGCGCGUGACGGGUGCUGACGAGGCUGAAAAAGACUGGCGCCUCUUCGAUAUCUGGGAUUGGCGCUUUAACAAAUUGCCCAUGAUUUCUGCAAAGCUGAGUUUGCACGUGACGGGUGCUAACGCGUCUGGAAAAGCAAGAUGCUUCUCCGAUUUCUGAGCUUGCCUCUUUGAUUUUUGAAUUGGCCUCUUCGAAUUCUGAGCUCGCCUCUUCGAUCUUUGAAAUCCCAUCGAGUGUUGAUCUUUAUAGAGGCACGCAGUUCGUUUCAAAGCACACUUGAAUUUUCGCUUGUAGAAACUCCCUUCUUGCACUUCUAAGAUCUUGAUUUGUCCGACCUCUUCUUUCUUCAACACCUUUGAAAAUGUCUGGACCCUCCGACCGUCAUUUUGAUUUGAACCUUGGUGAAGAGGUAGUCCCGUCUUCUCCAGAUAACAUAUGACGCCCAUCUUUCAUAUCCCCUACUGGUCCUCUUACCGUUGGGGAUUCGGUGGUGAAGAAUGAUAUGACCGCUGCGGUGGUGGCCCGAAACCUUGUCACUCCCAGAGAUAACAGACUACUUUCCAAACGGUCUGAUGAGUUGGCUGUUAAGGAUUCUCUGGCUCUCAGUGUGCAGUGUGCAGGUUCUGUGUCUAAUAUGGCCCAACGCCUAUUUGCUCGAACCCGUCAAGUUGAAUCAUUGGCGGCUGAAGUGAUGAGUCUCAAACAGGAGAUAUUAGAGGGCUCAAGCAGAGAGAUAAACAGUUGCAUAAGCUCGCACAUAGCUAUGCGACAAACAUGAAGAGGAAGAUUAACCAGAUGCAGGAAUCUGAUGGUCAGAUUUUACUUGAUCAUCAGAGGUUUGUGGGUUUGUUCCAGCAGCAUUUGCCUUCGUCUUCUGGGGCUGUACCGCGUAAUGAAGCUCCAAAUGAUCAACCCUUGGCUCCUCUUCUUCCUGGAGUUCCGCCGAGUGGUGUGGCUUCAAACAGUCAACCUCCGACGCCUCUCAUUUCUGGAGCUCUGCUGAGUGGUGAGGUGGCACCUAAUCGUCCUUGAAGAUCCCCUCUUGUAAAUUUGAUUUGAUUUUUUUUUAAGUAUGUAUAAUGCAAAUUUAUGUAAAAUUUCCAGAAAAAAUAAAUAAAAACGGACUUUAUUUCUCUCAAUGCAUUUGUUUUGUUUUGUUUUUGUUUUUUUUGUUUUUUUGUUUUUGUUUUUUUUGUAAAUACAUAAUAACAUAUGUAUUUAUUUAUUUAUUCUUUUGUAAUAAAAUUGACUUUCUUUAAUAAAACUUUUAUAUUUUUCUUAUUUAUUUUGAUAUGACUGAACUCGAAAUUGAAUGUUCGAGCCGCCUACGUACCCUUCCAAAGAAGAGAUCAAGCCAUAACGUAGUUCAAAUGAGUGAUGAAUUUAAUAGUGAUUUUGAUGAUGAUUUUGCCGUACACAGUUUAUGCUCUUGUGGGCCAGGAGCUUUGGUGUUGCCUUUUAUGCUCGUGCAGACCAGGAGCGUUGAUGUCGCCUUUUAUGCUCGUGUGGGUCAGGAGCGUUGAUGUUGCCUUUUAUGCUCGUGCAGACCAGGAGCUUUGUGCCAUGCAGUUUAGACUCGUGCGGGCAAGGAGCUUUGGUUCGUGCAGUUUAGGCUCAUGCGAACAAGGAGCAUUGGUUCGUGCAGUUUAGGCUCGUGCGAACAAGGAGCAUUGGUGUUGCCUUUUAUGCUCGUGCAGACCAGGAGCUUUGUGCUAUGCAGUUUAGACUCGUGCGGGUGAGGAGAAUUUGUGAAUUUUGUCAAGCACUUUUGGAGAGGCGUUCCUUACAAUCUUCAUAGCAAGGAGCCUUGACCGAGUGAUUGAAGAAGUCUUCGGGAAAGAAGUCGCACAUCGUGAUGGCAACAGACGAUCUUUGUGUCGUAAUUUCAUCAUCUUCAACACGUUCACGUUGCUUUGAAGGUUGACAAGAGCUGCUUUGCCCCCUUUCCGAUUGGCGGACUUGUGGAGGAGACGUAUGCUUCUUGUGCCAUUUCUUAGGAGUGACUUGAGUCCAUCCUUCAAGUUUGCUUGUUUUGGAGGAUGCCCCCGGCGGUUGAGGUGAAAAUUUUGUGUUGAAAGAGCCAGAAGUGAUGGUGGUAUAGUUUGACUUCACCACAUCGUCAAGAUCUAGCUCGAUGAUUCCUUUCUGAGCCCACUUUAUGAUGAGAUCUUUCAGCACAAAGCACUUUUCUGUCGGAUGACUGAUGAAGCGGUGGAAUUUACAGUAUCUUGGACUGUUGGUACGAUUCAUCUCUUCCGGCCAUCUGCACUCAGGCAAACUGAUCACCUUCUUGUCCAACAGGUCAUCCAACAUGGCAACCACAUCAGAGUCAGGGAAUGGAUAAGUCUUCUCUUUAAGCUCCUUCAAAGUGCGUCUACGCAUCUCUUGAUCACGAAAAGCUUCGGUUUGAAUCGUUUUGCCUCGUGUGGAGAUUUUGACGGGAGAUGUGUUGACUGUCAUUGCUUCCUUGGUGGAUUUCCACGUAGCCUUCUCCACCUUUGUCUCAAGAAUUUUGUCGUUCUUGUAGUCGGCGAUCGGUUCCUUCUUCCCAUGAUGGGUGAUGCUCAACUCCAUGUCAUGGGCGUGGGUGGCCAAUUCCUCGAAGGUCCGUGGUUUAAUGCCUUGAAGGAUGUAUUGCAAACCUCAUUGCAUGCCUUGGAUGCACAUCUCGAUUGAAGAGGUCUCCGAGAGCCUAUCUUUGCAGUCGAGGCUUAGAGUGCGCCAUCUGUUGAUGUAGUCAAUGACCGGCUCAUCUUUCCAUUGCUUCAUACUUGUGAGCUCCAACAUGCUUACAGUGCGGCGGGUGUUGUAGAAGCGGUUGAGGAAUUCCCGCUCCAAUUGCUCCCAGCUGUUGAUGGACUCAGGCUCUAGGUCCGUGUACCACUCAAAUGCGUUUCUUUUCAGCGAGCGCAUAAACUGCUUGGCGAAGUAGUCCCCCUCCGUCCCCGCGUUGUUGCAAGUUUUGACGAAAUGUGCAACGUGCUGCUUUGGGUUUCCUUUUCCAUCAAACUGCAUGAACUUUGGUGGUUGAUAUCCCAUCGGCAUCUUUAGGGCAUCAAUCUUCUUUGAAUAAGGCUUUGAGUACAACCCGGAGGUAUUUGAGCUCCCUUCGUACUAUGCCUUGACGGUGCUGGCAAUCAUCUCUUGCAACUGUUGGAUAGAAAGAGAUCCCAUGAGUGCCGCUUCUUGGUCUGGCUCCGGCUUCACAUCGAUUUUCUCCACCGUAGGCUCAUCUUCUGGGUUAGGGUUCUCGCUGUCCUGUGGCUCCAGUUGACUGAUGAGUGCAGCGAUUUGCAAGUCUUUUUCUUCCACAGUUCGGGUUAGCCUUGCGAUUGCUUCAUUCAUUUGAGCCAGUUGUUCUUCGAUGGAGGUAACGCCGAUGGUCAUGACUUGUGCAACCAAUAGACGUGACUUUCCUUUAGACAUCCAAGAUGCUGAAGAAGAACGUCAUUGGUUGUUUUGGGAUGUCAUCUUGUGUGCCUCAGCAACAUGCUUUGGUGCCCCCAGCGAGGUCAGGUUGAUGACAGACUCACACCUUUGAUGCUCCCUUUGCUCUUUUAGCGGCACCAACUUUGAAGUGGCAUGUUAAGGAGCGGUUGUGGUGCUAAUGGAUUGUCCAUUUGCGGCAGAAGUGCUUAGGAUCCUUCCCUCAGUGAUUGCGAGAACGGCUUGUCCCUUGCUUGAUGCCAUUGAUUUUGAGGUGUGUUUGGAUUCCUUAAACGGAGAAAGAUAUGAGAGGUAGAGAUUGUCCCACCGGGCGUGCCAAUUUGUGAACACGAAAAUUUCCUGAAACGAAAGAGACAAGAACAACGUGCACAAAAUAAUAUUUUGGUGUUAAUGGAUUUGUUGGGUUACGAUCUCUUUUAACUUGAUCCUCUGAUUCGAUCUCCGUAAGGUGUUGAUUUAUGGAUGUUUCGUUGAUCUAAGGGCCGUCGAGGCUUGAUCUUGGAUGAACUGUUGGAAGUUUCUUCAAGGGGCCGUGGGCUUGAUCUUUGAAGGUGGAUUUGAGCGGAUCUUCAAGGAGCCGUUGGGGCUUGAUCUUGAGGAUGAGUGUUUCUUCAAGGGCCGUUAAGGCUUGAUCUUGAAUAACGGUGAUGAACGGAUCUUCAAGGGCUUUUGGGCUUGAUCUUGAAGAACGGUUGGAUGUGUGGAUUUGUUGAUGUUGUUGAUCCAAGGGCCGUCGGGGCUUGAUCUUGGAAGAACGAUGAACGAAGAACGAAGAACACUUUCUUCAAAGGCCGUCGGGGCUUGAUCUUGAAUUGGUGAUUGUUGAUCCAAGGGCCGUCGGGGCUUGAUCUUGGAAGAACGGUGAACGAAGAAUGAAGAACGAAGAACACUUUCUUCAAGGGCCGUCGGGGCUUGAUCUUGAAUUGGUGAUUGUUAAUCAAAGGGCCGUCGGGGCUUGAUCUUGGAAGAACGAUGAACGAAGAACGAAGAAGGCUUUCUUGAUUCUUCGGGAUGAACGGAUGAUGAACAAUGAACACUUUCUUCAAGGGCCAUCGGGGCUUGAUCUUGAAUUGGUGGAAGUUCUUCAGGGCCUUUGGGGCUUGAUCUUGAAGGUGGAUGAUUGUUGAUCCAAGGGCCGUCGGGGCUUGAUCUUGGGAUGAACAGUUGUGUGGAUUUGUUGAACACUUUCUUCAAGGGCCGUCGAUGCUUGAUCUUGAAUUGGUGGAAGUUCGUCAAGGGCCGUUGGGGCUUGAUCUUGAAGAAGGAUUUGACGAAGAACGAAGAGAGCUUUCUUGAUCCUUCGGAAUUUGCUUGAAUUUGGGAGGUUGGAUGCUUGAAAGCUUUAGAGUUUCAAAGCUUCAAGGAUUUUGGAUGUGUGGGGAGUAUUCUCUUACAUUUUGGGAGUAGAGAAAUGUAUUUGUGAAUUGGUUUUUGAUACCUUGAUGUAGAAGCCUAUUUAUAGGCUUUGAGAAUGAAUCACCACCACAAAAUAUUUUUUUCUUUUCCAAGCACCAUUGCCUAAUUUCCCACUUAAUACAAUUUUAAACUUGAAGUGGUAAUUUUAUGGCCUAAUUUUCCACUUAAUAUCAUUUUAAACUUGAUAUGUGCAUGCUUUGUCAUUGCCCAAAAUGAGAAGAAAACCUUGUUUUGAUCUUCAAUGGAUUGAAAUGUGCUUUGCCUUGUCAUUGCCCAAAAUGAGAAGAAAAACUUGUGUAAUCCUCCAAGGGUAUUUCUUUUUAUUUUGUUGAGUCACACACCAUGUGUACAAUUUGUAUGACACGUGGCAUAUGCCAUAUAUGCCUUGACACGUCAAAAUUUUAAUGCGUUGGUGAACAUUUAUUUCACCGCAAUUUCGAUGUCUACAAUUUCAUUUCUUGUGAAUAAUGUUUAUCCUGUGUUCUGUCCAAUCGCGUAUUAAAAAAUGUGUGAAGUUUGGAUUAACCACACUCUUUUAGAAUUUCCUUUAUUUACCACUUUUUGAGAAUUUCCAAUAAGACUGGGUGAGUCUCCGCUGAGAAUUUCCUCAACUAACACCACACUACUUGAGGGAUAAUUUGUUAUAUCUUUGAAUAAAGAAUAAAACAGUUUCCUACUUUUGAAGGUACUAUUAACUUACACUAUAUUUGGAUGAAGGUCAAACUUUAUAAAUUGACAUACACCAAAUUCUUUGUUUGGAUUCAUAAACAUAUAAAUUUAGAAUUUCCGCGUGGAAAAAAAAAAUACUUAGAAUUUGAGACCUCCAAUUCUCAAAUUGAAAGUUUAAAAAUAAUAAAUUCCGUAUUCAAUUCAAUUGUUCUUUUAGGUUAACCAAAUAAGAAAAUUCACAAAUUCUAAAAUAUAAAAUCUCAUCAUUUCAAUUUCCGUCAUUUUAAAAUUCCUUAGUAAUAUUAAAUUUCUUCAUCCAAACAUAGUGUUAAGAAAUUUUUUAAAGAUACACUAUUUACACUCAUUUUUAUUUCUUACACAUUUAUUAACUUUGUCCAUUGAUUUCUUCAAUUCAUUUUGCCAGUUAUACAAAAAUUGAGAACAGUAUUUAUGAAUUAAAAAUACAUUUGUAGAUGUCACUACCAAAUUUUUAUUCCUAAUUCAAGAAAAUCUUAUCCAUAUAUGAUUGCCCUUGCCCACUUUAAAUGGGUGCCAUCACUUUACGAUAGAGCAAUCCUAACCGUCCACCUAGGUAAGCAUAACUGGCGAUGCAUGUCGCAAGGGGACCGCAUUGCACAAUAUAAUUAUACUAGUUGAUAAGACAAGUGAUGUCAAUCAAUAAAUUAUUUCAUUAAAACUUAGUUGUAUGUAUCAUAUGUUGUAAUGUAGGGUGUAUGAUAUGCUGACGCUGUAAAAAAAUGUAACCUUUUUAAUAUUACUCAUAAUAGUAAGACUUACCAGUAUUAGGAUGUUAUCAGUGGAAUGAGAAUCCUCUCCAGAUCUUUUUUGUGAGCUAUUAUUUGUAUUUAAUUUUAAAUAUAAAAAAUUAAAAUAAUUUAUGACGGCAGUGAUUCACAUGAUCUUCACAAAGAGAAUCCAAAUAAUCUUAAUUUAUAUCAGUGUGUCUAGAUAACAUGAUCGAGCCCCUUUACUUUUACCCUAUUUAGUAUUUUACAUUUGAACCUGUAAAUAUUCGAUUUUUCUUUGGUGCAACCGAGCACCAAAUAUAGAUUUUUUUUCACUUUUAUAUAAUGAUAAAUAAAGGGCAAUUGGCAGAUUUGAAUUCCAUUCGGAUUGGUCAAAAAUCAUUUUAAAUUGUUUUAUUUAAAAUUAAACACAUAUAGUACUUAAUAAAAAUUAGUCGUACAAUAUACGAUAAACAGAUAUAAUGUAAGGACCUUUAUGAUCUUCACAAAAAAGAUCCAAAGGUUGUGUAGCUGUUUCAAAAGGAUAAUACUCACUUUUGAUUAGUUCAAUGAAAUUUUAAACAUGUUUUAUUGUUUUAAAAAAUAAUAAACAUAUUUAUUAAUGUUUGUUUUACUUUAAAAAAUAAGCAGCACUUGACAACAUUUGAUUGUGCUAAAUAAAAAAUGAGUGACCACUUAGUACUACAGUCUUAUGAUAUUUUUCUUCAUUUGAAAGUGAGAGGUUUUAAGUUCGAAUCUCGUGGAUGACGAAUUUGAUAUCAAAUUAGAUUGCUCACUAUGUGGCUUAGCCGAACUCUCAUUUCCUUUAAUGUAAAAAUAUUGAUGUAUUCAAAAAAAUAAAAAGUGACUAUAGAGGACACUCAAUCUCAGCUGUAUGAUUAAAUCAGACGGUAAGAAAAAUUCUGCAAGCAUACUCGGUUACAUUAAUUGAAGAAAAAAUGGGUAAAUAUUGGGCACCAACGUUAUAAAUACCCUCCACCAUGCACCCAACUCCCUCACACCAUCACAACCCACGUUACAAAUCCUCCUCCUCAUCAUAACCAUUCUGUUUUCCGCAUAAUAUCCAAAAACCUAUCAUGUCUGAAGAGAAACACCACCGCGGUCUCUUCCACCACCACAAGGAUGAAGACAAACCCUCAGACUACCCUCAGUCUGGCUACUCUGAUGAAGGACGUCCCGGCGGCCUCGGUGGUGGUUACGGCGACACCAAUGAUUAUUCUGGUGAAGGACGUACCGGCGGCCUAGGUGGUGGCUAUGGCGACACCAAUGCUUAUUCUGGUGAAGGACGUCCCGGCGGCUAUGGCGGCUAUAACGAGACCACUGCUUACUCUGAGGAAAGAGUUGAAAGACCCGGCGGUGGCCGGUACAGUGAGACUACUGCGGCAUAUGGCAGCACCACCACUCAUGAAUCUGAACUUGAUUACAAGAAGGAGGAGAAGCACCACAAGCAU